rnacentral:rRNA from 1 species
CCCAGUGUGAUUCGUCACACUAUCAUUAACUGAAUCCAUAGGUUAAUGAGGCGAACCGGGGGAACUGAAACAUCUAAGUACCCCGAGGAAAAGAAAUCAACCGAGAUUCCCCCAGUAGCGGCGAGCGAACGGGGAGGAGCCCAGAGCCUGAAUCAGUGUGUGUGUUAGUGGAAGCGUCUGGAAAGGCGCGCGAUACAGGGUGACAGCCCCGUACACAAAAAUGCACAUACUGUGAGCUCGAUGAGUAGGGCGGGACACGUGGUAUCCUGUCUGAAUAUGGGGGGACCAUCCUCCAAGGCUAAAUACUCCUGACUGACCGAUAGUGAACCAGUACCGUGA